UGCCUGCUGCUGCCUUAUGCAGAAGCCGGCACUUUUAAGCACUGCCACACCAGUCUGUUGUGUAGGGCUUAGCUGCACUGAGGAACUACUAGAGAGCCUCUCCAGAGGUAUUUGCUUUCCUCACUGAAGUGGUGGUUGGGCAGGUAGGUUUCUUUUCCUGUAGCAUCACUGCAAGCAGAGGGGAACACCACUGAGGUUGGGAAGUUAAUCAUUUCUUAUUUAUGCUGCUUGCAUGGUGUCUAAUACAGGUGGGCUCUGGGCUUCCAGGUGCUGCUACAGUGUAAGCAGUGAGUUGGGGGGGAGGUAAAAGAGCCCUCCGUUGCUCACGCCUUCCAGGAGGCUACAACCAGUUCAAAGGAUGACUCUAAGCCCUGUGUGUACCAGUCUGCUCUGUAGGCAGGUCCUGUUUGGGCUACUCGGAGCUAGGCAGGGCCCUCUUCUCACACCAAAGCCCUGCAGGAGUUAACUUAGUGCAUGGCUGUGUCCUGGCCUGGACAGGUCCCAGGAGAUUGCUGUGAAGAGCCUGGAAAGCUGUCCAACUCCAAACUGACAUUUUACAGUGCCUGGAUGCUCUGGGCCAGCAGAUUCCCUUACUGCAGGCUGAGAGCCUUUCCAGCCAGAUGACGAUCGAUUGCUGGAGCAGUAACACACGAGGCUCUGGGGAGGGAUGAGGUAAGUGCUGAGACUCAGCCCUGACAUCACUUGGCAGAUGAGCAAGACAGAAAUACACAAAUCCUAACAAGCCCAGCAUCAGAACUGCCUCUCAACUACCUCAGUGGGCAUUUGUGCAUCUGAGCGGGACAGAGCAGUACCUCACGUUUCUGCUGUCUGUUUUCCAGACUUCCUUUUCACCUCCAAACCUGCAUCAGGGGAGGCAGCCUGCUGUGUAGCACUUUGUGACCUGCAGUGGAGCAGUGCUAGGCUACACGACAGCAGCAACCGUUGCUGGCUCUGAGUUGCUCUGGAGUCCAGCUGUAGCCUUUGACCUUGUUCACACUGGGUAUCUCCAAGUAUGGUAAAGCUGAGAGAGACACACAUCUGCUGGAGAACAUGUGCUCCCUUCCCCAGCAGCUAAGACAGAGACGCAGCAGAAACGUAAGCUAGCUUGGUACGUACGUGGCUGUGGCUGGGCAGGUCCACUUAUCCAGUUCUCCAGCACAGUGUCUCCAGAGCUUUGACAUGCCCCAGGAAGGAGGCUGGGUCUCUGCUGAGCGAUCCAUGCAGCAGCGUAGCGGGUGAGUGCUCCCUGGUGGCAGGUAAAAUGCAGCUACCCCUCCAAAUGGUCAGUGCAGGCAGGUUAAAUGCCUGAUGAGCAGCAUCACUGGUCUAAAAAAUCUUACUGCUGGUUGGAAACGUUGCCAUUAAAUACAUUUCAGUUAGAAAGUGCUGAUUUAUUCAAAAUCUGUUUCUCUAUAGGAACAUAUCUACUUUGGCAGAACUCAUUGCUGGAGUUUCUGAAGUCCAAGAUAGCCUCUCUGGUCAAACCAAGAAAAAAGAUACUCCACCUCCUGAUGUUAGAUUCCUGCUCCCCUCCUUUCUGGCCAUCCCGUUACCACUUUUCUAAAAAAAGAAGAACUGAAAAUAAGUGUAGACCCUUGCACCUGUGUGCAGGGUGGAACUGACUUCCCAGCUAACACCCCAUCCUGGGGCUCUCAAGGGGCUCCAUUUCUUGCUGAAACGGUGCCAGGCAGAUUGGGCAAAAUAGGAGUGCCUUGCCAAGAGCAGCUCUACCCAAGGCACGCAGGGAAUGGGAGCAGCACAGGACUGUUUCCAAGAGAAACAAGGGGAGGAAAGGGCUAUUAUUCCCCAUCGGUGUUGGGCACAAAGGGAGGGGGGGUGGUGAUUCUGCUUGCUUUUGUGACAAGCCGUGGCCAGAAAAUUUUGCUGGCCCCCAAAGCGAGUCAACGCCAAAUGCAGGCUCCUGCCUUGGGUGCACUCACCUGCUGUGCCCUGCACAACAGGGACCAAACCUGCAUGAGACUUCUGACUGCAGCUGCAGCAGAAGCAAUGAGUUGCCUAAGUGUGAUUUGUGUGCUAGGCAAACAGACAGAGACUUCUUUCCUUUCCAGACGCAGAACCCCUAUCCUGGGCCUGCAGUUUGGGCUGUGCAGCUGGCAGUUACCUUUCAGACUUUGUUCCAUGCUAAAGCAGGGGCUUUGCUGCACACCUGUUCUCUAGAGGUCUCCAAAGGCCCCAAACACUAGAGGCUAAGAGCAGGAGAGCCUGGCUCCUGGUCAGAAGGUCCUGGUACAACCCUCCACAGGACUGUGGCUGGGGAAGUAGAGGCGACAGCACAGGGCUCUCACUCCAGAGUCCUCAGCAACCCCAGAACAAACUUAAUUGUGCAGGGGGACAAGACUGCAGCUGGGGCUGGGAUAAGGGUUUAAAAGAGACCGUGUAGCCUCUGACCUGGACUCGUUUCCUCCUGUAGAAAGAGCAAAGUCGAGCAAGAUGUUCCAGGGAAGGAUCCAAAGCAAUUUGUGUCACCUCAUGAUGCAGGCAGGACAGGAGGACUCCAAAAUGAGAAGGUGCUCUUCCCUUUCCCCAUUAAAUUAAAAGUGUUGUGGACAUAAAAGACGUCAAGGCUGGAGUUAACUACCCACUCGGGGCUCCUCCUUUGGCUGACGUGAGCACAAGUUCCUGGGUUUUUAGGUGACAAGCAAAGGGGCUGCCAAAGUCUC